GGUGGUUCUGGUUGAUGUCUGAUCGUCGGUUGCUCUCGUCGAGGAAGAAUCUGGGUUACUCUUGUCGACGAAAUCGGUGGCUCUCCUCGUCGAUUUGAUUUCUUCUCUCAAAAAAAGCAAAUACAUCCGCCAAAUUCUCCGAUCUCUCUGUUAGCGAAGGGAUCAAGAAGGAACCAAAGCAAGUUCCUAGAGAGAUUCUUUCUUUCUUCACAAGGAGGAGCUUCAAUGUUAAAUCAAAGGGAAGGGAUAAAUAAGUACAAUGCAGAAGAGCUCAUGAUAACAGCGUCACUGCAAUGUACUGAGCAGCCAAGCCGUAGACAUGUGUACUUUGCAGAAGACAGAGAGGAAGCUAGCGAUGUCAUCUGAGAACACAGAGCUCAAGCUUCGUUUGCGAGAUGGUUUGAAGUUGCAGCUGCUACAGAAGAUGAGAGUGGAGAGCUUGAACGUGAUGUUGCAGCUGGUUUGUUUCUUCAUCACUUGAUAGGUAAGUUGUUGAUCUUGUUCUCGGUUAUGGUAAAAACUUGUAAUGCUUAAAUGAUCUUUUAUGUUUUAUGUUGCUCUUGCUAUGCAAUUGAGAGAGUCAAGAGGAGACAAUGAAUUGUAGUUUUGUAUUCUUGUGUGUGUGUAUUGGUUGUAUUUGUAUUUA